rnacentral:rRNA from 1 species
UACAGAGGUCCCAAGCGUUGUUCGGAUUCAUUGGGCGUAAAGGGUGCGUAGGUGGCGCCGUAAGUCGGGUGUGAAAUUUCGGAGCUUAACUCCGAAACUGCAUUCGAUACUGCGGUGCUUGAGGACUGGAGAGGAGACUGGAAUUCCCGGUGUAGCGGUGAAAUGCGCAGAUAUCGGGAAGAACACCCGUGGCGAAGGCGGUUCUCUGGGACGGUACUGACGCUGAGACGCGAAAGCGUGGGGAGCGAACAGG